AUUUUUAUACUUUGUCUAAUAAAGAAUUGUUGUCUAAGAUGGAUGACACAUCUGAUUAAAAAGAUAACUUCAAGAUCUAAUUCCUGCCUAAUCGAGUAUUGGUAUCCAUGAGGUCACCGAACUACUACAAGACUAUAGUCAGCUAGAGUGUAAGAUAACUCAACUCGGCAAAGAGUACGUGGGACUUAAAAAUGUCACCAUCUCUGGGAAAACCUGUCAAGCUUGGAGUUCGCAGUAUCCACAUAAACACACGUUGUCUGACAAUAAAGUCCUUAGGAAAAGCCGUAACUACUGCAGAAACCCGGAUGGGGAGCCGGGGGGGCCAUGGUGUUAUACUACGAACAGGAACAUUCGAUGGGAGUACUGCGGGAUCCCUUCUUGUCCAUUAACAGAUGAUAAAUGCUACGAAGAAGGUACCUUCUAUCUGGGUAAGAUAAACGUGACGGAGACAGGGUAUACCUGCCGUCGGUGGGACAGUGAAGAUUCAGACGUGUAUCAGGUGUUUGGUCAACUAGAAAAUUACUGCAGGUCACCAGACGGUGCUCCGUUCCCCUGGUGUUUGUCAACAGCGCCUGGAAAGAGAUGGGAGAAAUGUAGGAUACCGAUUUGUGUGAUAGUCAAUGACAUUCAAACGAACAUUUAUUGUUAAUCAAAGGAAGCAAGACAACAACAACAAUACCAACAACAAUCAGUGUCAAAUCAAACCAGCUAUUUUCUAAUGACUCAGAAAGUCCCAUUAGUGCAGAAAAUUACCGUAAAAGUAUCAAGAAAAACACCCUCACUGUUGAAAUAAUCACUGUGGUAACUCUAGGGUGUGUACUUGUGCUCCUGAUAGGCAUCGUUUACAUAAUCUUGAUGCUUAGACAAAAUCGUCUUCAGUACCUUGUACAAACUGUUCCAAGUCAGAAAGCUCGUCAUUCCGUCAACAAUGCCUACGAUAUUGGGUUCUCGGACGAACAACCGAUUGUGAACUCCCAUUUCUGAUGAGAACUUUUAGCUGCAUGUACAUGUAUACGAAUGCCUUAAUAAACAAGUCAUUUGAUUUUCAUUGAAAUGUAUGCAUUCCUAAAAACGUAUGGGUAGUGUUCUUUGGAGAUCUCGUUUGAGAGGUAUUUUAGGUUCGAACAUUUUUUUUUCGAUAAUGCAAGUUAUGAAGGGCGUAUCUCUAAUGGAAAAAAACAAAACAAAUUUAAUGCAUAUUAAAAAAAUAAACAAGUUCAAGUAUAACGAUAAUUUAAUAUACACAACAAAUUAUUAAAAUAUGCAUAUUUCGUCAUAUUUUCAUACAUAACUUUUUGUUAUUUAGAUUUUGUAGAUUAAUGUUUUUUAGAAUGCUCCGAUUAUCUAGCUCGUUUGAUAUAAAGGCGUAUGCUUUUGUGUCUGUUUAUGUUAUUGUAGUUGUAAAGUUAUUAUAGAUCUAAAAUUCUAUUAUGUUCAGUGUAUAAGAAAACUAAAACACUCUCAUUGUGUAUGCUAAUUAAAAUUAUAUUAAACCAAUCUACGUUAUACCGAUAGUUCGUAAAUUUUAUCAACUAAUGUCAUAUUUUUGUAUUGCAUGAUUUAUUUUAAACAAUCUCCAGAAUAAAUGAUAUGUUCAAC
rnacentral:misc_RNA from 1 species